rnacentral:rRNA from 1 species
UACGAAGGGGGCUAGCGUUGUUCGGAAUUACUGGGCGUAAAGCGCACGUAGGCGGACUAUUAAGUCAGGGGUGAAAUCCCGGGGCUCAACCCCGGAACUGCCUUUGAUACUGGUAGUCUCGAGUCCGGAAGAGGUGAGUGGAAUUCCUGGUGUAGCGGUGGAAUGCGCAGAUAUCAGGAGGAACACCAAUAGCGAAGGCAGCUCGCUGGGACGGUACUGACGCUAAGGCGCGAAAGCGUGGGGAGCAAACAGG